rnacentral:lncRNA from 1 species
UAUCUCCUGUUGGUUGCUUAACUUCUAGAACAACCUGUAGUUUCUUGGACUUCCCCUGCUUUCCUGCCUCAACAUCUUGAUUCACUGUGUCUACAGGACUUUGUAGGUUACAGGAUUUAUCUGGAAACUCUCUUUCCAUUUGUGUAUAAAUGAAUCUCACUGGCUGCCACAGCUAUUUCUUGGAGGAAUAAAAGCAAACGCUUGGACACUGAGGAGUGGAUUGCCCAUCUGCCUUCUAUCAUUAAAGGACACGGCAACGCGACCCUCGCCAAAUGCUGUUGCCUGGAUCUUGGACUCCCUGGCCUCCGUAAUGGUGUUGUGUGGGGUGCUGGAUCGUCAGGGCAGAGGAAGAGCGAGAUGAGGGGAAACACUCAGAGUUCCACACAGCUGCUGUAACCAGAUACCUCAGCCACAAUUUUGUGAUUGAUAAAGGAUGAAAGAAGAUGAAAGAAGAACCUGGAAGAAAAGGAAUUACCAACAGUCAGCUUUCAGAAAUCAGUAGAAAGUUUUCAGAAACAAUGUUUGAUGCUUACUCUGGUAGGUAGAACACAGGUCAGCAUAUCCUGUGCAUUUUCUCAUUUUAUUCUCAAAAUUACGCUUGGAGGUUUUGCCAGCUUUUGCGACGAUAAUGCCCAAAUCACCCCAGUGCUUGGUGAUAUACAUGCAUCAUUUCUCACUCAGGGUCUUAUGGCAGAAUCCUGGGCUAUUCCAUGUGUCUCAUCUGGAGCCUGGAGCCCGGGCAGGUUCUUCUCAUGGGGUGGGAGUGGGGCAGCUCGGAGCAGAAAUGCUGCUGUCCUUCAGCUGGGUGCAGACACGGUUCACUUUCCCUCCUGCCCAGGCCCCACUGGCCCAAGCAAUCCUGUGUCCACCCAACACCCCUGAGGAGUGGACACGUGACCCUCCUAUGGAGGGGAGAUUCGGAGUGAGUGUUCACUGAACAAUAACUCAUUCUACCACCUAUCAUUUUAUAGGUAAGAAAAAAGAGGCCCUGAGAGAAUGAUUUGUUAAUCAAUAGCACCUGAUGACAGAGACCAUAUUCAUAGUCUUGGUGUAAGACUCGCCACUGGAAAGACACAGUCAGGGCCCAGUUCAAGGCAUAUACAGGAAUCUUUUGUUUUUAAGAGAUGGGGUCUUGUCAUCUAACCCAGGCUAUAGACAUUUUUUAAAAUUGAUCAGGGUUUAUUUGCAGAUAUGUACAUCUACUACAGCUAGUUUAAGCAGCCAGGAAUGUCAUACGGGGAUUAGGAGAAUCCAGAAUCAUCGAAAUGGAUGAAGGAGCAGGAUCUAGGCUGAACUUCCUGAAAUGACCCAGUAGCACCUCCACAGACCCGGCCUGGAAUGCUGGGAAACGAGGAGAAACACUAUGCUUUUCACAGCAUCACAGACGGUACUGGACCCUUCCUAUCAAUGGGACCAUUUCAGGGCUGCCACUUGGCCAGGGCAUCGCAGUGGGCUGUUGGAUCAGACCGAGAGGCACCAAUUCAAACGCCCCCGGCAAGAACCUAUGUCAGGUGGAUGGGAUGGUUAUAAACGGCAGAGCUAUGCCUGCUAUCAAGGAUUAGAAUGAAAAUAUCUGAGCAGCCUCAGCAGACAGUAGCUGGUGGCACCUCAGGAGACCGGAAAAGCCCUACCUGCCAGGACCCCUAGACCCAGCCCUUGCCUGUCUUGAAACAGCAAAGGGAGUGAUCUUGGGGACACCAGAACAGUCUGCUUGCAGAGAUUAGGAACAGGACAGCUUAUUCCAGUCAAACAGCGAGACUAAAAGUGAGUCUAAGGCUCCAGCCUCUCCAGAUUCCUCCUGGCCCACGCAUGAACAUGGUCUCCGUGGCCAUCGAUUCUUCUGAGCCCACCUCCUCCACGUGAGUACACACGCUUGUCUACCUAUGGUCUGUGAAAGUGCACAGACUUUGGGUCAAACAGAUUUGAGUGUAGAGUCUGGCUUAGAAUUCCAGACCCAGCUCUUCUUCACUGUGUGAUUUGGGGCAAAAUAACCUGGCCUCUGGAAGCCUGAGUUUUUCAUCUGUAAAAUGAAAGCAGCACUAUUUUUCACUACGAUGUGCCAGCACACCACCCAUCUAGACCCUAAACAAGGUGGACCCCAGCUGGCUCCCUGGUGACCAGCUCCAAAAUGCCUUCCUUUGGACUUCACGUUCUGUGAGAGAACGCAAACCCUGACAUCUGGUUUCAUCCAGUUCCUUAGCUUUUCAGUGACAGGCAGCUGAACUCAAUUGUUAAUUGACUGAUCUCCAUUGCAUAGGGUUACUGUGAAGCGCAUAUGAGAUCACAGCUGUUAAAGUGCCAAACCACGUGACUUAUUUAGGACUCCUGACUUUCCUAAUGUUGCAUGGAGGAUAUUUAAUCAUAAAACAGUUAAAUCUGGCAUAGUGGGCUACCAAGAAGAAGGCAGGGUUCCGCUUACCAUACUGAGAGAGGGAUUGAGGCAGAAACUCCCUGGAACUAUGGGCAGCAACAAAGGAGGGAGGGCAGGUCACCUGUGCAGAAGAACAUGCACACACACAGGCAUGCACACAUAUUUGUACACGGGCACACUCAUCUGCACACACACAUGCACGCAUACGUGCACACCCUCCAGCACACAUGUGUUCAGAUCAUGCUCUCAUUUACACGUGCACACGGGCAUGCACACUCAUGCACAUGUACUGUUGACUCUAUCUUGAGCUUACACAUCAAAGCCACGAUCUGGUUCAGUACUUACUUGUUUAUUGAUAUUCCAUUUAGCAUUUACCAAGUACCUUCUAUGUAACUUGGCUAGGCAGUCUUUUUUUCUCAAACAAAAUCCAGUACAAAUCCUCCCUCAUCCAUGAAAUCUUUCUGGAUUCUCCAAUGGGAUUGAACUAAUCCUCAUAGAACUUUCCAUGUGCCCCUGCUUGUCACGAAUUUCAUUUACCUUCAGAGUAAAAUUGUUGCACAUACUUCUGUUUCCUUAAGUGGCUGUGGGAGCUGACAUUCUAGGCCCCAGUGAAAAGGUCUGGUCCUGAAACUGCGUCUCAGUUCUUGGCUUGAGAAAAGCACAGCUGGUUAGAAGUGCUUACACCACGGAGGCAUGAAGAGGACGUGAGGGUGGCUCAUUUUAAAAGCAAUGCGUUUAUCUUAUCUUCCAGUGCAGAGAGAGAGAGAAUCCCCUGCUUAGAGCACAGAAGCUGGUGCACCGUCCUGUGCCGCAUUGUCCUCUGGCUGCCUGCCUGGGGAGACCCCUCUCCCCUCUCCUUCCUGAACGCAGGCACGAGGAUUUGUACAUACGUGCACAUAAAUAUGGUAUUUCCCAGAGGGCCUGGCAUAAACAUUCUUAAUAUGUGCUUGUUAUAUUGCAGUGAACUAACACCCACAGUCAGUCAGGAAACAAAGUGCAUUGCAUGUUACCUGGGGAACAGUCAGCAGAACCUUGAUUUUACCUGGAGAGUCUGGGGCUGCACUUUUGGCACGUGGGAGUUCCCACAGCUACCAGUCCAGGAAUCCCAGGGUGACUGCCAUUUUCCAAGGGUUACAUCCCCCAAAUAUGUCACAAAACAUGUUUAAACAAAUACCUUGGCUUCUGCUUUUUUAUCUAUACAACAGUUCUCAACAUGGCCACAGAUUAGAAUCAAUCCUGAUGCCUUUUUAGAGUGUACAUUACCAGAGCCCCCAGGCUGACCGAGCCAGAACCAUGCCUGAGGCCAUAGCACGUCAGUGGUCUCAGAGCACACGGGAGAUUCCGUGGCACCCUUAGGCCAUAGCACGUCAGUGGUCUCAGAGCACACGGGAGAUUCUGUGGGCCCCCGAGGCCAUAGCACGUCAGUGGUCUCAGAGCACACGGGAGAUUCCGUGGCACCCUGAGGCCAUAGCACGUCAGUGGUCUCAGAGCACAUGGGAGAUUCUGGGCCCCCUGAGGCUGUAGCACGUCAGUGGUCUCAGAGCACACGGGAGAUUCCGUGGCACCCUGAGGCCAUAGCACGUCAGUGGUCUCAGAGCACAUGGGAGAUUCCGGGCCCCCUGAGGCCGUAGCACGUCAGUGGUCUCAGAGCACACGGGAGAUUCCAUGGCCCCCUGAGGCCAUAGCACGUCAGUGGUCUCAGAGCACACGGGAGAUUCCGUGUCACCGUGAGGCCAUGCACGUCAGUGGUCUCAGAGCACACGGGAGAUUCUGUGGGCCCCCGAGGCCAUAGCACGUCAGUGGUCUCAGAGCACACAGGAGAUUCCGUGGCACCCUGAGGCCAUAGCACAUCAGUGGUCUCAGAGCACAUGGGAGAUUCCGGGCCCCCUGAGGCCGUAGCACGUCAGUGGUCUCAGAGCACACGGGAGAUUCCAUGGCCCCCUGAGGCCAUAGCACGUCAGUGGUCUCAGAGCACACGGGAGAUUCCGUGUCACCGUGAGGCCAUGCACGUCAGUGGUCUCAGAGCACACGGGAGAUUCUGUGGGCCCCCGAGGCCAUAGCACGUCAGUGGUCUCAGAGCACACGGGAGAUUCCGUGGCACCCUGAGGCCAUAGCACAUCAGUGGUCUCAGAGCACAUGGGAGAUUCCGGGCCCCCUGAGGCCGUAGCACGUCAGUGGUCUCAGAGCACACGGGAGAUUCCGUGGCACCCUGAGGCCAUAGCACGUCAGUGGUCUCAGAGCACACGGGAGAUUCCGUGGGCCCCCUGAGGCCAGAGCACGUCAGUGGUCUCAGAGCACACGGGAGAUUCCGUGGCCCCCUGAGGCCAGAGCACGUCAGUGGUCUCAGAGCACACGGGAGAUUCCGUGGCCCCCUGAGGCCAUAGCACGUCAGCGGUCUCAGAGCACACGGGAGAUUCUGUGGCCCCCUGGCUAGAACACUGGACCAGAUGGUCUGCAGGUUCUCCUCUGAGUCUGAUGGUCUUGUCUAUGUUAAAAUGUCUCGGCCGGGCACGGUGGCUCACGCCUGUAAUCCCAGCACUUUGGGAGGCCGAGGCAGGUGGAUCA